ACUCAAAGGAAUUGACGGGGGCUCACACAAGCGGUGGAGCAUGUGGCUUAAUUCGAGGCUACGCGAAGAACCUUAUCCUGGGCUUGACAUGUGCGAAAGCGCCCGGCAGUAGGGCACGGAAACGCUGCCCCAACGGUAUCCAGUCCGGAACCGGGUACAGGUGCUGCAUGGCUGUCGUCAGCUCGUGUCGUGAGAUGUUGGGUUAAGUCCCGUAACGAGCGAAACCCUUGUCUCCAGUUGCCAGCGGGUCAUGCCGGGGACUCUGGAGAGACUGCCGGUGUUAAACCGGAGGAAGGCGGGGAUGACGUCAAGUCCUCAUGGCCUUUAUGCCCAGGGCUGCACACGUGCUACAAUGGCGUGGACAGAGGGAAGCCAACCCGCGAGGGGGAGCCAAUCCCAAAAAGCACGCCCCAGUUCAGAUUGAAGGCUGCAACUCGCCUUCAUGAAGUUGGAAUCGCUAGUAAUCGCAGGUCAGCAACACUGCGGUGAAUGUGUUCCUGAGCCUUGCACACACCGCCCGU
rnacentral:rRNA from 1 species